AUAUAGGGAUUUUCUUGUAUGGCACUUAUAUAGGGUUCUAUUUUUGGUAACAAUUUCUCAUUGGUUAUACAUGCUUUAUGCCAUCAGUUACUUGGUAAUCAUUACAAAGUUUCACAAUGUGUUUCUUUGUCACUUCUACCCUAGGGAGCCUUUGUCUGUGGCUGUCUCUCCCAGGGUGUCUGCUCAAUCGGGCCUAAGAUAUCAGGCUCCUUUAUCAGUUCUAUUAUACUCUCUGUUUCAUUCCCCAUAGUUAAGCUCAUUAAAAUGGCACACAGAAAACUGUGCUCCUAUAGUUUCCAUUUCAGUUAAUAUAGAGUGCUAAAUACUAACAUACUAAAUCUACUGCAGUUUAAGACAAAACUUCUACUGGUUUAAUAGGGCCAAGAUGUCACAAAGUUAAUUCCCUAACACAGCAUAAAACCUGAAAACAGUCCCAGAACAGUGACUUCAAUGGAGGGUUAUUUUUUGCUCAUUAUUUCUGAAAAUCAUUCACUUAGACAAACACUAACCCUAAAACCAAACACCAUGAAUUUCUAGCCACAAACAAACCUCAGUGAGGAUCUUGCAGAAGAGUAACAGCAGGGUGCCCACUUUCUACAGCCACUGUCACAAAUGCUCCUAUAUAUGUGGAAGGAGGACCAAAGACAUGGUGAAAGCAGCAGUGUGGGUCCCUGCCGAAGGUGCUCUGGUGAAAGUAAAUCCAGGCUUUCUGUUAAACUCCUGAAUACACUUAAAAACUCCAAAUAAAUGCUGCAGGUGCAUUUCUGUAAAGCCAGGAGGGAGGAGAUGCUCCUCCCUGCUCUCUCUGCUGCUCUCCUCUGGAAUAGUACUUUUAUGGCUUCCCCGUUAGAGCAGCAGGAAGAGGAGACUAUGGUGUUACAAAGAUGCAGGGGGGAAGGGCAGACAUAUGCCAGUAUGUGUUCUAUUUAACAUUCAACUAUUUAUGUAAAGUGAAACAGUUUCAUCCAUUUAGACAGCUUGCAUUCAUCCAGACUCUGUGACACUCCACAAUCCUGUCUGUAAAAUAUACACAGACUUGGUUUGGGAUUUGCUGGAGAUGGUAUGCGUGGAAUGGAGAAGGAAUUCCACUUCCUAGGGCCCCUAGGAGCAAAACAAGAAGAAUGCCUCUCUACAUUUUAUACAGCUUUUUUUUUUAACUAUUAUUUCUAAUGAUCUACAAACAAUCUCAGAGCCAGGCUUUGUGCUAAGCAGGCAGAGCUGACCACAAUUUUCUGAGCAGCAAGACUUGUUCCGCCUUCUCAGCCAGCACAGGCAUUGCUCCAUUUGCUACAGGGAAUCCCUUUCCUUAAUCAGCAUGGGGAGGUCUGGGAAAUCAACCCCACGAGGGUCUGCUAUUGCUGAAGGGCUUCCUUUUCACAAUGAGGACUUGAAGAGCCUCUUCUAGAUGACGCCUUCAUGUUUAUCUCAAAGGAGAGCUUCUGUGGGGCAGGCUCAUCUGAAUUUGGAUCAAGUACUAUCCUGGACAGAAACUUCAUUGAGGAUGUCCUUUGCUAUGGGGCAGAAAAAGCCUGUUGCUGUCGUGUUUUUGCUAGGAGCUCUUUUGUGCAACAUUUUUGAGCACCCACUUCAAGGAUGCACGGUGUCAGCAUCUGGAAAUACUUGUUUGUUCUGGGUUUUUCUUUCUUCCAUUCAGUCAGAGAGUUUGAGCUCAGAAAACAGAUGGGUUUGUUCUGCUAGUAAUUGGUCCAGCUGCUGCAAAGAAAAUAGAGCGAAAAGCAUAUUGCAAUCAAAAAAUAUAAUAAAAGGAAUCUAACAAGAUACACAAGAGUAUAUGAAGCAUGCCUGCUUCUGCUUAGUCUGAAGAAGACAUGCAAUAUUUGGCUUCUGAGAUGCUGCCAUAAAAAGGAGGCAAAAACCCUAAAGGAUAAUUUAUUUCAACAAAUCUAAUUGCCUAAGGGAUCAUUUGCAAACAGACUUCAAUCUGUGGCCAAUGCAGUCUUGUCUGGAGCAUCUUACAAUGACAGACUGUGGGAGUUGGAACUGUUUAGCCUAGAGAAGACUGAGAGAGGAUCUAAUCAACACAUACAAAUAUCUCAUAGGAGAGUGUCAAGAGGAUGGUGCCAGACUCUUCUCAGUGGAGCUCAGCAACAGGACAAGGAGGAAAGGCCAUAGAGUAAAACACAAGGAGUUCCACCUCAAUAUGAGGAAACCCUAACUAUUCUGCAGUUCUGAGACCCUCUAACCCAAGCUUGUCAGAAAAUAAUCAAAAGACAAAUUCCGUUAUCAUUAUUUCUUUAGUCUUCCUUAUCAAAUUGAGAGGCAAUCUGGAAAAGAACCAGGCUAGUAACCAUUUCCCAGUAAUUAUGUAGGCUGUGUGUCACCUUUCUUCUGGAAAUCAAAAACCGGGUAGGAUACAGACCCUUUUAUAAAUCUUUUCCUGGGUAGUUCAGUCCAAGUAGCAUAGCCAAAGAGAAAGAAGGUCAAAUAUGUAAACUGUAAGUCUUGUAUUUGAAAAUCCUCCUCUGGCUUUGAAAGGGUUUUCAGAUGUUAGCUCCAGGGUUAGCACAUUGAACACUAAAUAACAGGACAUUAAAUUCUUCCCACAUGACCCAAAGCAGUGGUUGUGCAACAUACCAUAAGGAUGCUCUCUCUGACCUGACACACUGAAUCAUUCUGCUGAAAUUCCAGCUCUGCAACCUCCUGACCAAUGGCUUGCUGUAAGAAAUGCAGAUGUCUGUUUUUCUUCCUGUAGGGACAGCAGUGAAAGCACAUUAGAGUGAGCAGCGAAUACCCUCCUUUAUCUCAGCCCCAGCAUAAUGUCUGUGUCUUCUGCUGUUGCAGUCUUGUUUUUAUUAAUGAUGACAGGAUACCUUAAAAAAUAAUGAAUAAGAGUCCUUGUCUGCUUGAUUCUCAUUUGUUUGGUUAUCCCAGCUGCAAAAUUUAAAAUGUAGUUGCAGAGCCAUUUUGAGUAUGCCAGACCUGCUGUUCGCAAACAGAGAAAGGCUGGUGGGAGAUGUGGUACUUGGGGCUCAUCUGGGGCACAGUGAUCAUGAAAUUAUAGAGUUCUUGAUAUUUGGUGAAACAAGGAGGGACAUCAAUAAAACUUCCACACUGGACUUCCAGAGGGCAGACUUUGGCCUAUUCAAGAGACUUAUCCAGAAAGUUCCUUGUGAAGCAGCCCUUAAAACAGAAGAGUCCAGACAGGAUGGGCAUACUUCAAACAGAAAUCUUGAAAGCACAGGAACAGACUGUCCCUAUGUGCCAAAAGAUGAGCUGAUAAAGAAAAUGACUGGCCUGGAUAGGCAAGAAGAUUUUGAAGGAACUAAGAAAAAAAUUACUAUGUCAGAUGAAGAAAGUUAUGAAAAAAAACUAUGAAAAAAAAUCUGCUAUGUCAGAUGAAGAAAGGUAAUGACAGCCAAACACACUUACGUAAAUCCAAAGAUUUCACUGUGUUACUGCAUGACUUCUGGUCAGUGAGGUACAGCUGUGGAUGUCCCACAAGCAGAGGAAAAACGUAUUGUGAUGUGAUUUUUACACGGAGGAAAGUCCAGCUUCUUGCCACAUCAUUCAAGAUGCUUAAACAUGAGCAUUUUGAAGGGAAAGAUUGCUACAUAAAUUUGGGCUAGAUUUUUAGCACAGAAAUACUGUGUUCUAAUAGCAUUAAGAAUGCAGCAACAGAUAUCUGUCGACUGGAGCUUGGUGUCCCAGGUCAGUGGGUUCAGGCCAUGUAAUUAAUGCUCAUGAUCAAUACAGUGAAAAGGCAGGAAAAUUUAAACUAGCUCUUCAUGGAUUCAGCACAAGUUCAUGGUGAUUACCAAGAAGCCUCAGGUUCAUAAAAAGCUACUAGGGGUUUCCAGCCUGGAUUUGCCUAAAAGUAGGACAUUUAUGCAGUCUUUGUGCUUGUGAUAAAUCAGAAGUGAUAAACCUGCCCAUACUCAGAAUCAGAGAAAGAACUAUGUUGGAGAAGACCUUUGAGAAUAUGAAGUCCAACAUAUGACCUAACACCUGCUCAACAACUAAACCAUAGCACUGAAUUCCAUGCUCAUUCUUUUUUUUUAAACACGUCUAAGGAUGAUGACUCCAGCACUUCCCUGGGAAUUCCAGUGCCCAAUCACUCUCAGUAAAGACUUUUUUCUUGAUGUCUAAUCUAAACAUCCGCUGGACUUUGUCCUCUCAUUCUGUUGAUGGCUGCCUGGGAGAAGAGACCAACCCCCACCUGCCUACUACAUCUGCUGGAGUGCAUCCCUCCCUGGGUUCCCCAGGGAGAGAGAAAGAUUCAGGAGUUGAAUUAAAGCCUUUAGAGAAACUAAAAUAUAUAAAGCCUCGUAAAUAUGAAGUAGAAGUUUAGACUUUACUUUUAAGUAAAUAAAUAAGUAUACUCUAAAUGCCCUAAGAAUCAAACAGCCAGCACAGGGCCCUAAGGCCUGCUAACUUAGCUUUAGACAUAACAAAACCAAAGUAGAACAUCACUGACAGUACUAGAUAGAGCAGGUACAAUUUUUACGUGAAUGAGAUAGAGCCUUUUAUGUUAAUAGUUAUUGUAUAUGAUAGAGCUUUUACAUUAAUAGAUAUGCUAUAUGCAUAGGUUUUGUGGAAGGUUUGAUACCAUGCUUUGUAGUUUAUCAUUUCACGUACUUUCAAAAUUAGGUUUAGAUUGGUGUAGAAAGAAGGUUUUAGAAUUGUAUUUUUAGCUGAUUUGGUAUCCUAUAGAUAAUUAUAUGAAUAUGCAUUUAUGGUUUAUGGAUAAAAAUCCCCUGGUUUGGAGGCAAUGGCAUUGAUUCAUCAAUUUCUCAAUUGAUCGAUCCACCCUCUACCACCUACAGCAAGAGAGAAUGGGGCUUUGCCAUGGAGUUGCUGCCAGGGAGUCGUUGCCAGGACCUUGUCAGGUAUAACCACUUGGGAGGUGCUUCUGCUGCUGAUUGGGGGGGUGCAGCUGCAGCCGCUGUUGCUGCUAUGGCAGUAACUUUGCCAUUUCGGCCACUGCUGCAAAGAACACUGCUUGGGAACAGGAGUCUGGGCCAGGAAUCUGCCUUUGCCCUGUGGCUGGGACUCUGUCAGUUUGCUGUUAUGCCCCCUUGGGACUUUAAGCCUUAUUACUUAAGAAUGCUUAGAACUUUUGCCUUUGAGACUGAUGCAUUUAUAAUAAACAACUUUGUAAUAACCAGAAAAUGCUCUUGGCCUUUUAAGACCCUAUACCCAUGAGCAGCUUGACAUACCUCCUUCGAGAGAGUUGUAGAGAGUGAUAAGGUCACCUCUGAGCCUCCUUUUCUCCAGGCUAAACAACCCCAGCUCUCUCAGUCGUUCCUCACAGGGCUUGUGUUCCAGACCCUUCACCAGCCUUGUUGCCUUUCUCUGGACAUGCUCCAGCAUCUCAACAUCCUUCCUAAAUUGAGGAGCCCAGAACUGGUCACAGCACUCAAGGUGUGGACUCACCAGUGCUGAAUACAGGCGAAGAAUCACUUCCCUGGUCCUGCUGGCCUCACUAUUCCUGAUCCAGGCCAGAAUACCAUUGGCCUUCUUGGCCAUGUGGGCACACUGCUGGCUCAUGUUCAGGCUGCUGCCAGUCAGUACCCCCAGGUCCCUUUCUGCCUGGGCACUGUCCAGCCACUCUCCUCAGCCUGUAGUGCCGCAGGGGGUGGUUGUGACCAAAGUGCAGGACCUGGCACUUGUCUUGUUAAACCUCAUAUUGUUGGAUUCAGUGCAUCUAUUCAGCCUGUCCAGAUCCCUUUGCAGAGCCCUUCUGCUCUCCAACAGAUCAACACAUGCUCCCAGCUUGGUGUCAUCUGCAAAUUUACUGAUGGUGGACUCAAUCUCGUCGUCCAGAUCAUCAAUGAAGAUAUUAAACAGGACUGGGCCCAGCACUGACCCCACUAGUGACUGGCCACCAGCUGGAUGCAGCACCAUUCACCACCACUCUCUGGGCCUGGCCAUCCAGCCAGUUCUUAACCCAGCAAAGAGUGCAGCUAUCUAAACGAUGGUCUACCAUCUUUGCCAGGAGUAUGCUAUGGGAGACAGUGUCAAAGGCUUUGCUGAAGUCCAAAUAGACAACAUCCACAGCCUUAACUGCAUCCACCAGUUGGGUCACCUGGUCAUAAAAGGAGAUCAGGUUGGUCAAACAUGACCCGCCCUUCAUAAACCCAUGCUGGCUGGGUCUGAUUCCCUGGCCAUCCUGUAGUUGCCAUGGGAGGGCACUCAAGAUGAUCUGCUCCAUAACUUUGCCAGGUACUGAGGUCAGGCUGACUGGCCUGUAGUUUCCUGGAUCCUCCUUCUGGCCCUUCUUGUGGAUAGGUGUUACAUUGGCCAGCUUUCAGUCAUCUGGGACCUCCCCACUGGGCCAGGACUGAUGGUAAAUGAUGGAGAGUGGCUUUGCAAGCUCAUCUGCCAGCUCCCUCAUCACCCCAGGAUGGAUCCCAUCUGGGCCCAUAGAUUUAUGAGCAUCUAAGUGGCUCAGCAGGUUCUGACUGUUUCCUACUGGAUAACAGGGGGGCUAUUCUGCUCCCUGACACCACCCACCAGCCCAGGAGGCCAGUUGUGCUGAGGACAACCAUUCUUUCUGUUUAAAAUUGAGGCAAAUAAGGUGUUAAGAAUCUCUUUCUUUUCCUCAUCUUUAGUUACUAAAUUCCCUCCCGCAUCUAAUAGAGACUGGAGGUUGUCCUUGCCCUUCUUUUUCCCAUUAAUGUAUUUGUAAAAAUAUUUUUUCUUUUCUUUACAGAAGUGGCCAGAUUGAGUUCUAACCAGGCUUUUGCCUCUCUAAUUUUUUUCCUACGUGACCUGGCAAAUCCUUAAGCAUUUCUUGAGAUACCUGACCCUCCUUCUAAAGGUGAUGGCACCUCAAGGGAGUUUGCUCUGGGUGCAUCACUCACAUCCCAGUCACCCUAAAGCAUAUAGUUUUAAGUCCUGGCACUGUUUGGGCCAAUGAGAAUGUCUUUUUUGCCCUUGAAGGGGAAAAAGGCUUUGAUCAAAGAUCUGACACAACUUCUGACAUUACUGCAGUGUUGUCAGGCAUACUUGAGCAGGAUGAGUUGCUACAGAUUAAACAUAAGUUAAAUGCAGAAUAUGGGGUUGUAAUUGUUAAAGUUGUUAAGGCUUAUGUUCACCAGAAAGCCCUGUAGCAAGGCACAGCUGCAGGCUGGACAACUGGAGGUCAUUUAGAGAGUCAGAGAUAGUUCUGACUCAUGGACAGCACACUGCAGCUGAGCCAGGCAAUGGGUGCUCUUCUCCUGUUAUGUUUUGGUUUUGUCUGGUUGACAUUAAAGGUAUACAAAGGGGGUAACUUCUUCAAUAAAGUGA